rnacentral:lncRNA from 1 species
CCCAAUAGUUUUACUGAUCCACAACACAUAACAUAUAUGCAAAGUUGCAUAACAAAUUUCAUGAUCCAUAUAUCAAAAUUCCAUAGCAUCCAUACAUCCAAAAUUCCAUAGCAUCUAUAUAUACAUAUAGUUCCAUAGCAUCCAUACAUACAUAGCUCCAUAGCAAAUAUAAUACACAGCGAUACUUUGCGGGCAUUAGUAAGUAAUAUUUGGCACUA